rnacentral:rRNA from 1 species
AAGAACCUUUACCAGGUCUUGACAUCCGAUGCUAUUUCUAGAGAUAGAAAGUUACUUCGGUACAUCGGUGACAGGUGGUGCAUGGUUGUCGUCAGCUCGUGUCGUGAGAUGUUGGGUUAAGUCCCGCAACGAGCGCAACCCCUAUUGUUAGUUGCCAUCAUUCAGUUGGGCACUCUAAGGUGACUGCCGGCUAAAAGGUCGGAGGAAGUGGGGAUGACGUCAAAUCAUCAUGCCCCUUAUGACCUGGGCUACACACGUGCUACAAUGGGCGGUACAAAGGGUCGCGAACCCGCGAGGGGGAGCCAAUCCCAAAAAAGCCGCUCUCAGUUCGGAUUGCAGGCUGCAACUCGCCUGCAUGAAGCCGGAAUCGCUAGUAAUCGCGGAUCCAGCAUGCCGCGGUGAAUACGUUCCCGGGCCGUU